rnacentral:rRNA from 1 species
ACUCCUACGGGAGGCAGUAGUGGGGAAUAUUGGACAAUGGGCGAAAGCCUGAUCCAGCAAUGCCGCGUGAGUGAUGAAGGCCUUAGGGUUGUAAAGCUCUUUUACCCGGGAUGAUAAUGACAGUACCGGGAGAAUAAGCCCCGGCUAACUCCGUGCCAGCAGCCGCGGUAAUACGGAGGGGGCUAGCGUUGUUCGGAAUUACUGGGCGUAAAGCGCGCGUAGGCGGCUUUGUAAGUUAGAGGUGAAAGCCCGGAGCUCAACUUCGGAAUUGCCUUUAAGACUGCAUCGCUAGAAUCGUGGAGAGGUGAGUGGAAUUCCGAGUGUAGAGGUGAAAUUCGUAGAUAUUCGGAAGAACACCAGUGGCGAAGGCGACUCACUGGACACGUAUUGACGCUGAGGUGCGAAAGCGUGGGGAGCAAACAGGAUUAGAAACCCGUGUAGUCCCAUGG